AAGCUCGUAGUUGAAUUUCGGGGUUAGUAGGUUGGUCAUGCCUCUGGUAUGUACUGGUCUCACUGAUUCCUCCUUCCUGAUGAACCGUAAUGCCAUUAAUUUGGUGUUGCGGGGAAUUUGGACUGUUACUUUGAAAAAAAUUAGAGUGUUUAAAGCAAGCUAACGCUUGAAUACAUUAGCAUGGAAUAAUGAAAUAGGACGUUCGAUCCUAUUUUGUUGGUUUCUAGGAUUGACGUAAUGAUUAAUAGAGAUAGUUGGG
rnacentral:rRNA from 1 species